rnacentral:lncRNA from 1 species
AUGUCUCUCUUCUUCUCUCUCUCUCCAUUUCUCUGUUCAUCCAUCUUUGACUCCAUCUAUUUCUCUGUCUAUCUCUCUCCCAGGUUUGAUCACAGCUGUGUCCUUCAGCCUCGACGCCCGCGUGGCAGACGGCUGUGCGACCCUCACCAUCACAGACCCCCUGACCGCCCUCUACAAGAACGGCAGUCUGCUCACCAUCAGAGACGUGUUCCAGAAUCAACUCAACUACAGGGUCAGCUACCAGAAGGUCGGAAGCACCAGAAAGAAGGAGACGGACGUGGACAGCAACGUGGCUGUAGUGGACGGUCUGGAGCCCAACGAGGGCUACUGCUUCAGCGUGGCGGCCAAGGUCCUCAGCAGAGCAGAUCUGGGGGCCUGGAGCCAGCAGCAGUGCUCCAAGGCCCACGGGCCCUUCCUUCAAGAAACCACCACAGAGAGUGGAGCAGUGGCACCAUCUCCUACUACUGAGGAUGGGGGGAGCUCAAAUG